UACAGAGGGUGCGAGCGUUGUCCGGAAUCACUGGGCGUAAAGGGCGCGUAGGCGGCUUGAUAAGCGUGCGGUGAAAGCCCGGGGCUCAACCCCGGGUCGGCCGUGCGAACUGUCGAGCUGGAGCACUGUAGAGGCAGGUGGAAUUCCGGGUGUAGCGGUGGAAUGCGUAGAGAUCCGGAAGAACCCCGGUGGCGAAGGCGGCCUGCUGGGCAGUGGCUGACGCUGAGGCGCGACAGCGUGGGGAGCAAACAGG
rnacentral:rRNA from 1 species